rnacentral:rRNA from 1 species
CAGCAGCCGCGGUAAUACAGAGGGUGCAAGCGUUAAUCGGAAUUACUGGGCGUAAAGCGCGCGUAGGUGGUUUGUUAAGUUGGAUGUGAAAUCCCCGGGCUCAACCUGGGAACUGCAUCCAAAACUGGCAAGCUAGAGUAUGGUAGAGGGUGGUGGAAUUUCCUGUGUAGCGGUGAAAUGCGUAGAUAUAGGAAGGAACACCAGUGGCGAAGGCGACCACCUGGACUGAUACUGACACUGAGGUGCGAAAGCGUGGGGAGCAAACAGGAUUAGAUACCCGUGUAGUCCCUGUCUCUUAUAC